GAUUUUUCCUCUUUCUCUCUCUCUCUCUCUGUCUGAACUCUGAAAUAUUGUUUUCUAAAAUUAUGGAAGAUGUGAUCGGGAGAGUAGCGGGAUCUUUACUGACGUCUUUAUUAAGGGAGGAAUUUCAGCUUCCUAACUAUCCGUCGAUGGUAAAAGACUGUAGGAAAGACAUUGAGAAGGCUGGGAAUGAUAUUCCAGAUAAGAUUAAGAACGAGAACAUGUUGAGAUUGUGCUGGACUCUAGUUUAUGGACCAAAUAUUCAAGAUAUUAAGAAAGGGCUAUUGAACCUUGAGGGUGAAAUAAUAAAAUUUAUGUAUAAGCAAUUCCCUUUUUUUUUGUCAAUCCGACAUUUAAAUAACUAUACUUUAUAUGCUAGAAAACUGAACAAUUGUUUUUGUAGAGGCUUUGAUUGGUGAAAUUUGCUCGAGGCUUUGAUUGGUGAAAUUUGCUCGAGGCUAAAGAGGGAUAAAGUUUAUCUUAUCUCAGUUGGAUAUUACGGACUCAAAUCAUAUGACGGAAGCUUGACGAAUCUGAAAUUAUGUUUAGAGAUUGCACCGGAUUUUAGGCAAGCUUUGACCCUGCAGAAAGUAAUACUAAAUCGAAGCUCAUCUUUCCGGUUCCUCAAUGGGACAGAUCAGAUCCCAUGCUAUCGUGAUAUGAUACUUGAUUGUGAAAAAGAUAUCGCAGAUGCACAUAUGAUGAGGUGACGGAUGAAAGCAUAAUGAAGUUGUGCUGGGCACUUGUUCACUCAAGACAACCAGAGGAUGUCCAGCGGGGACUAGAUAUGCUGGAAGGUUAUGUUGGUGUUAGGUAUUUGCAAGCCCAAAGGUCCGAGAUGUUCUAUCUUCUUGCAGUUGGAUAUUAUAGAAUUGGAGAAUUGAUGUUUAGUUGGCAGUGCUUGGACCAGUGCUUGGACUCAAGUUAUUACAAUUUUGAUUGGUGGAAAUAUAGUCUUUCCUCUGGAAAUUUAGGUCUAACUUGGUCUUAACUGAUCUUUGUCAAAAUGAAUUUGAUUUUUAGAUUUCUCCAAACUUUGAGCAAGCUUCAAGCCUGUUGGUGAAAGUUGAAGGUCAGAACCGAAAUUUUGGGCUUGGGCGCUUCAUCACUAGUAUUGGCUUUAAUCUUUUGGCCGGUGGUCCCAACUCUUACAGCUUUACGUAGGAGAUGAUAUAUAUGUGUAGGUGUUUUGAUAUGAGUAUGUGUUUUUAGUGCCAUCAAUGUAAAUGAAGUUCGUAAAGAGGUACUACAUAUUUUGCAAUAUUGUCUGGUAGUUAGUAGAUUGUUACAUUGACAUGUUUAUUUUGCUACGGAAAUAUUAUGUAUGUUUGGAGUUGAUACUUGAUAGUGGAGUUGGUGACCAACUGUUGGUCCAAGAUUACUUAAAAA